UGACUGUCCCAACGUGGGAGCGGCCCGCAGCACGCUGAGUUGCGUACCUCAGGACCUUCAUUAAUGUUUUGCAUCCAUCCAUCCAUCCUCGAUGGGCGAAACGAUUUCAGCGGAAGCAAGCGCUCCAGUCAUGCGCCGCUAGUGCAGCGUAAACAACACCAUGGACGCUACCAGGCAUCAUGUGUGCCUAUACGGUGCGGCGGUAAGUGCAUUUGCAGUGAAGCUGCGUCGGCAGAGUUCCAGUGGCAUCGCGAGCGAGCACCCAUACACAUGUUCAAAUGUGUAAGGACUCGCCUGGCUGAUGAACAGUUUGUCUUAUACCGCCAAAGCCUCGCCGAAAGCGCCGUCGUUUCAAGCAUGCCGUGCCGCCCGCAAUCGUUGAUAGACGCCCACGAAGCCGCAACUGCGAAAAGACGUUAGCCGCUGCGCGCGCAUUGUCGCCUUCGUCCCCAUCGGCGCGGGCGUUGUCCUGAUGUGUGCGUCGGCUCGCCAGUGCUUCAGUCAGGGAGGAAGACGGUUAAGCCCAGUUAAGCUUAGUGCAUACAUUCGCUCCUUCUCUUCCUCGGCUUAGCACACGCCGGCGCAAAAAAAUGUUUCGCGUAAAAAUCAACUUACACUGCGCGACUUAUUUUUCUCGCUGCACCUUGCAACGAGCUAAUGGCACGGGAGACACAUGCAUCGUGCGCUGGACACGCCGCCGAAGCGAGUGACGUUGAAUGUGCUUGUGAAGUUCUCCUGUUUGGCGACCCGUCACUUUUCGAUGUGGCCUGUUUGUUGGGCGCCCGCGGUUUCUUCUGCACCUCGGCGAAGUAUGGCAAGGAAUGACGGAGCCAAGCGGACCCAUCAUGCCGCACUCGACCGGCCUUGUCAGGUUCAUGCCAGCGUUCGACCACGCCCUCUUGAGAAGAACGUGCGUUUCUACCAUUUAUAGACCGGCGACGGCGUCAGCUAUUAGCGUGUGCCGGCGAGCGAAUAUCUUGGAGGCCACGGAGUGGUGCUGGGGGCUCAACUGCCGAGCUUCUGCUUGGCACGAACGAAUGAGUGACGCGAACCUACACUACAGCCCGCCAUGCCUAACGAUGCAACUACCUGCCCGCCUCCGUCACCACCCAUCAUAGGCUCCGGGGUCUCUCACCAGUGAGAUCCAGUGUUGUAGAGGAUUUGCUCUCUUCAUACUACAAGGAGCCAUACGACAGCACAGCAGCGUCCAGCAACCGUGGUUGGCAAGGCCCGGGAGGAUUCGCUAAUAAAUCUUCGGUUUAAAGAAACGGUCUUGCCGCUCCCGAUGUACCCAGUGAAAAGAUGUACUUUGCGUCACAAAUUGCUACCACAGAAGUUUAUCUUCUCACAAAGGGUGUGUGGCAUCAUAACUUUUGACUUCCGUGUUUUAUUCAUUGAACUCUCUUUUCGGAUAACAUCAAGUGCAAAAGAGCAGCAUCUGUUUUUUAGUUCAAGGCGCGGCAAGUUGCUUCCAUAUGUCCGGCUCUGCAUCAGAACGACAAGUUGGGCCAGUUGGUUGGGAUUCCUGGUAAGGGUGCAGUAUAUUUCUAGUACUCAGGGCUCUUUUGUGUCUCAAGUAAAACUCUUGCUUGGGCUAGUUGGUUCAUGCUUGAAGUAGGUAAAGGCAAGGCGUAGAAGACCAGGACUUAGGAAGAACACAAACGACAAGACGGGCGCCAUGACGUGGCCUACGACGCCUACGACGUUAACGUUGGCAUGACGUUGCCAACGCCUACGACGUUGCGCUGCAAACCCCGAGUCUGAGUGUGUGAGAUCAAAUGCAGGUAGCGAAAACCGAAAUUCAAUGGGGGCAAAUUUCACCAACGGCAAUGGACCACGCAUUGGGUGCAAGCUAAAAUGCUCCAGGUGGACCAGAUUAUUCCGCAGUUCCUUACUAUGGCGGGCCUCGUAAUCGUAUGGCGGUUCUGCGACGCAAAACCGCAGAAUUCUACUCAGGAUACGUGGGUGUCUCCGGAACUUCACCACACUGGUGGCAAAAUGACUAG